rnacentral:rRNA from 1 species
UACGUAGGGCGCAAGCGUUAUCCGGGAUUACUGGGCGUAAAGGGCUCGUAGGCGGCCAACUAAGUCAGACGUGAAAUCCCUAGGCUCAACCUGGGAACUGCGUCUGAUACUGGUUGGCUUGAAUCCGGGAGAGGGAUGCAGAAUUCCAGGUGUAGCGGUGAAAUGCGUAGAUAUCUGGAGGAAUACCGGUGGCGAAGGCGGCAUCCUGGACCGGCAUUGACGCUGAGGAGCGAAAGCCAGGGGAGCAAACGGG